GAUGAACGCUGGCGGCGUGCAUAACACAUUCAAGUCGAACGGUGAUAGAGACUUCGGUCUCUUGAUCAGUGGCGGACGGGUGAGUAACGCGUGAGUAACCUGCCUAUCUGAGUGGAAUAACACAGGGAAACUUGUGCUAAUACCGCAUAACAUGUAGAUUUCGCAUGUAAUCUACAUCAAAGAGCAAUCGCAGAUAGAUGGACUCGCGUCUGAUUAGCUAGUUGGUGGGGUAACGGCCCACCAAGGCGACGAUCAGUAGCCGGUCUGAGGGGAUGAACGGCCACAUUGGGACUGAGAUACGGCCCAGACUCCUACGGAGGCAGCAGUGGGGAAUAUUGGGCAAUGGGGGAAACCCUGACCCAGCAACGCCGCGUGAAGGAAGAAGGCCUCGGGUUGUAAACGUUCUUUACCUAGGACGAAGAACGU
rnacentral:rRNA from 1 species